ACCAAAUUAUUACAAUUUAAAGCAUGCUGGUGCAAUGUUCGGGUGGCUAAGCUUAUUCAGAUUUCAUUUCUGGUCUUUUUAACUGUACGCUUCUAAGAAUUUACGAUUGAUAUUGCUAUUAUUGUAUAUAUAUAUAUAUACUAGAACACACCCGUGAUAUCGCGGGUCCGUGACUGAAUUAAAGUAUAUAACUAUGCGCAAGCCUUAUUUUAGUAUUAGUAUUGUGAUCUGAUAAAGUCAUGCCUAAGAUACACUGCUUUCAAAUCUUUCUGUUUGAACCCGUCGAACUGGAACUUAUCAAUUAUUGGUAAUAUUAAUUAUUUGGAAAACAAAAGGUCCUGGAAUGGAGUAUUUCUUAAUCAACAGCAUUGUCCUAUAUU
rnacentral:lncRNA from 1 species